CCUACGGGCGGCAGCAGUGGGGAAUUUUGGACAAUGGGCGCAAGCCUGAUCCAGCUAUUCCGCGUGUGGGAUGAUGGCCUUCGGGUUGUAAACCACUUUUUUAGAGAACGAAAAGUCUGUUGAUAAUACCGAUAGAUGAUGACGGUACUCUAAGAAUAAGCCCCGGCUAACUACGUGCCAGCAGCCGCGAUAAUACGUAGGGUGCGAGCGUUAAUCGGAAUUACUGGUCGUAAAGGGUGUGCAGGCGGUUUUGCAAGAUGGAUGAAAGCCCCGGGCUUAACCGGGGAAAGGCAUAAAUGACUGGAAGACUAGAGUGCGUCAGAGGGGGGUGGAAUUCAAAGUGUAGCAGUGAAAUGCGUAGAUAGUUGGAAGAACACCGAUGGCGAAGGCAG
rnacentral:rRNA from 1 species